rnacentral:rRNA from 1 species
GACGGAGGUCCCGAGCGUUGUUCGGAAUUAUUGGGCUUAAAGCGCGUGUAGGCGGAGCGGCAAGUACUUUGUGAAAUCCCGGACUCAAUCCGGAACUGCUUGGUAUACUGCCGUUCUCGAGGCAGGUAGGGGUCACUGGAACCUUAGGUGGAGCGGUGAAUGACGUAGAUAUCUAAGGGAACGCCUGUGGCGAAAGCGGGUGACUGGGCCUGUCCUGACGCUGAGACGCGAAAGCGUAGGGAGCAAACGGGAUUAGAUAACCCCGUGUAGU